GGGGGCGUCCCGGUUUCGACUGAACAUUCGAGGCGCCGGCUGCAUGUGGAGGUUGAACGGCUGGCCUCCUUAAAAGCCGCUCAAACAAUCAAAUGCCUAUUCCAAGAACGAAUACGCAAUGGCCGCGUAACUAACGCCGCCGGAUCCGAACCCUGACGCCUGCUGGGGGUAAGGAUCUCUGAUUUAGCAGGCUGGUGCUCGGCGGGGAGACCGCGACGGGCACGACACCAACAGGUCUCUAGCCAGGCGGAAGGCUGACGCAGAGCGGACCGCCGGCGAAGCAGCCAAUCUGCGUCUGAACAUGGAGAUGCUUGCGUCAACAGUGUCCAGGACAGGGGUUCGAUUCCCCUCGCCUCCAGCA
rnacentral:tmRNA from 1 species